rnacentral:rRNA from 1 species
UAACCAUGCAGUCGAGCGGAUGAGAGGAGCUUGCUCCUCGAUUCAGCGGCGGACGGGUGAGUAAUGCCUAGGAAUCUGCCUAGUAGUGGGGGACAACGUUUCGAAAGGAACGCUAAUACCGCAUACGUCCUACGGGAGAAAGUGGGGGAUCUUCGGACCUCACGCUAUUAGAUGAGCCUAGGUCGGAUUAGCUAGUUGGUGGGGUAAAGGCCUACCAAGGCGACGAUCCGUAACUGGUCUGAGAGGAUGAUCAGUCACACUGGAACUGAGACACGGUCCAGACUCCUACGGGAGGCAGCAGUGGGGAAUAUUGGACAAUGGGCGAAAGCCUGAUCCAGCCAUGCCGCGUGUGUGAAGAAGGCCUUCGGGUCGUAAAGCACUUUAAGUUGGGAGGAAGGGCUCAUAGCGAAUACCUGUGAGUUUUGACGUUACCAAUAAAAUAAGCACCGGUUAAUUUU